GCCGGUGUGUCGGAAUCGGCAGACGAGGCAGACUCAAAAUCUGUUGAUGGCAACAUCGUGCGGGGGCAAGUCCCGCCACCGGCA
rnacentral:tRNA from 1 species